UCAAGCCACAAGACCAUUAGGUGCACGGUUCAAUGGAUUAAUGGACCAUUUCAAGAUGGCUUUGGAUUGCUUCUUUGCGGUGUGGUUUGUUGUGGGCAAUGUGUGGAUAUUUGGAGGUCACUCUACUCCCACCGAUGCUCCCAAAUUGUACAAAUUAUGUAUAGUAUUCCUUACUUUUAGCUGUAUAGGAUAUGCCAUGCCAUUCAUACUAACUAUGUGCAACAAUUUGUUGCUGCUUGCCUUGCAUAAUCUCUCUCCUUGGAAUUCGGGAGGAUUUUUCUCAAACUAGAGGAGCCACUGUAGAAUCUAUCAAUAGUUUGCCAACCUACAAGUUCAAGUUACAGAAAAGUGAGAAUGUCAAUGUUCAUGACAACUCAGGGACUGAUGAUGGUGGAGUCUUUGCUGCAGGGACUGAAAAGGAACGUGCAAUAUCAGGAGAAGAUGCGGUUUGCUGUAUUUGCUUGAAUAAGUAUGUCGAUGACGAUGAGCUGAGGGAACUCCCCUGCACCCAUUUCUUCCAUGUGGACUGUGUGGACAAGUGGUUGAAGAUCAAUGCAUCAUGUCCCCUCUGUAAAAGCGAACUUGGUGAGAGUAGUGGUGCUCCGCCAUUAGCCAGAGACUCCAGCCAACACUAGAGCAAGUUAGAAUGAUAGGUAAUGGAUUGAUCAGCCAUUGGAUUUUGCAUGUCUGGGGUAGAUACCUCAAAUGCACUCGUUUUCAACAAACUAAAUUUUGUUUCACAGAGAUGGAAAGGGCAACAGCAGGUUUUUUUGGUCCUAGCAUUGGCUUUUAAGUCUAUUUAAUUGUUUGUAAUUGCGCUAUACAGGACAAGCUUCCCACCUGAAAUAGUCCGCCCUUCUGUGAAAAUAAAAAAAGUAAUCUUCUUUGGUGUUGCUAUUAUCUGAAUCCUUCAUUUGCUUGAUUUGAAUGGUGAAAUCAACAUCCGUAUGGGUGCCCACUAUUGUAAAUUGUAGGAUGAUAAUUCAGUGAUCAAGUUUUUUUUUUUU
rnacentral:misc_RNA from 1 species